GCGCCGGUGGUGUAAUGGCGUAGAGCAUUCCCGCCCGGUCGGUUGGGAGGUGCGGGUUCGAGUCCCGCCUGGCCCU
rnacentral:tRNA from 1 species